rnacentral:rRNA from 1 species
UACAGAGGGUGCAAACGUUGCUCGGAAUUAUUGGGCGUAAAGCGCGUGUAGGCGGCUUGUUAAGUCGGGUGUGAAAACCCAUGGCUCAACCAUGGAAGUGCGCCCGAAACUGGCUAGCUCGAGUCCCGACGAGGGUGGCGGAAUUCCCAGUGUAGAGGUGAAAUUCGUAGAUAUUGGGAGGAACACCGGUGGCGAAGGCGGCCACCUGGGAGGGUACUGACGCUGAGACGCGAAAGCGUGGGGAGCAAACAGG